AACCCUUGCCAUUAGUUGCUACGAAAGGGCACUCGUAAUGGGGACUGCCGGUGACAAACCGGAGGAAGUGGGGAUGACGUCAAGUCCUCAUGGCCCUUAUAGGUGGGGCUACACACGUCAUACAAUGGCCGGUACAGAGGGUAGCCAACCCGCGAGGGGGAGCCAAUCCCACAAAGCCGGUCGUAGUCCGGAUCGCAGUCUGCAACUCGACUGUGUGAAGUCGGAAUCGCUAGUAAUCGCGGAUCAGCAUGUCGCGGUGAAUACGUUCCCGGGUCUU
rnacentral:rRNA from 1 species